CCGCACUCCCUUUAAAGAGCUGCGUGGAGUGUGUGUGUGGCUCUUGGGGGCUUUUUCUGGAGGAGGGAGAAAAGCCUGCAAGCGCCGCACACACUCUCCACGCGGCUCAUGAAAGGGAGCGCUG